rnacentral:tRNA from 1 species
UUAGCUAAAACCAAAUAGAGGUAUAUCACUGUUAAUGAUAUCAUUGAAGUUCAAUAAUUCUGGCUAAA